rnacentral:rRNA from 1 species
UAGGGAAUAUUGCUCAAUGGGCGAAAGCCUGAAGCAGCGACGCCGCGUGAGUGACGAAGGCCUUAGGGUUGUAAAGCUCUGUUGUAAGGGAAAAUGAUGAUGGUACCUUAUAAGAAAGGACCGGCUAACUUCGUGCCAGCAGCCGCGGUAAGACGAGGGGUCCUAGCGUUGUUCGGAAUCAUUGGGCGUAAAGCGCAGGUAGGUGGCUCUACAAGUCAGGUGUGAAAGCCCUGGGCUCAACCCAGGAAGUGCACUUGAUACUGUCGAGCUUGAAUAUGGGAGAGGGCAGUGGAAUUCCUGGUGUAGUGGUGAAAUACGUAGAUAUCAGGAGGAACACCGGCGGCGAAGGCGGCUGCCUGGCCCAAUAUUGACACUGAGCUGCGAAAGCGUGGGGAUCAAA